rnacentral:rRNA from 1 species
AACGAACGCUGGCGGCAUGCCUAACACAUGCAAGUCGAACGAGACCUUCGGGUCUAGUGGCGCACGGGUGCGUAACGCGUGGGAAUCUGCCCUUGGGUUCGGAAUAACAGUUAGAAAUGACUGCUAAUACCGGAUGAUGUCUUCGGACCAAAGAUUUAUCGCCCAAGGAUGAGCCCGCGUAAGAUUAGCUAGUUGGUGAGGUAAUGGCUCACCAAGGCGACGANCUUUUAGCUGGUCUGAGAGGAUGAUCAGCCACACUGGGGACUGAGACACGGCCCAGACUCCUACGGGAGGCAGCAGUGGGGAAUAUUGGACAAUGGCGAAAGCCUGAUCCAGCAAUGCCGCGUGAGUGAUGAAGGCC